rfam:Stereum hirsutum FP-91666 SS1 unplaced genomic scaffold STEHIscaffold_7, whole genome shotgun sequence.
CCUCUGAUAGCUCAGCUGGAAGAGCGCGAGACUGUAAUGGAAAUCAUGUUAUCUUGAGGUCGUGGGCUCGACUCCCACUCGGAGGA